rnacentral:rRNA from 1 species
UACGGAGGGGGCUAGCGUUGUUCGGAAUUACUGGGCGUAAAGCGCACGUAGGCGGCUUUGUAAGUUAGAGGUGAAAGCCCGGGGCUCAACUCCGGAAUUGCCUUUAAGACUGCAUAGCUAGAGUAUGGGAGAGGGAAGUGGAAUUUCAGGUGUAGCGGUGAAAUGCGUAGAUAUCUGAAGGAACAUCAGUGGCGAAAGCGACUUCCUGGACCAAUACUGACGCUCAUGUGCGAAAGCGUGGGGAGCAAACAGG